rnacentral:tRNA from 1 species
AUAAAAAAAGCUAAUAAAUAGCUAUUAAUUUCGACUUAAUAUAAAAUAUAUAAAAUUAUUUUUUUAUU